AUUGAACGCUGGCGGAAUGCUUUACACAUGCAAGUCGAACGGCAGCACGGGAGCUUGCUCCUGGUGGCGAGUGGCGAACGGGUGAGUAAUGCAUCGGAACGUACCUAUUAGUGGGGGAUAACUAUCCGAAAGGAUGGCUAAUACCGCAUACGUCCUGAGGGAGAAAGCGGGGGAUCGUAAGACCUCGCGCUAAUAGAGCGGCCGAUGUUGGAUUAGCUAGUUGGUGGGGUAAAGGCCUACCAAGGCGACGAUCCAUAGCUGGUCUGAGAGGAUGAUCAGCCACACUGGGACUGAGACACGGCCCAGACUCCUACGGGAGGCAGCAGUGGGGAAUUUUGGACAAUGGGGGCAACCCUGAUCCAGCCAUUCCGCGUGAGUGAAGAAGGCCUUCGGGUUGUAAAGCUCUUUCGGCAGGAACGAAACGGUAGCUACUAAUACUAGCUGCUAAUGACGGUACCUGAAGAAGAAGCACCGGCUAACUACGUGCCAGCCGCCGCAGUAA
rnacentral:rRNA from 1 species